UAAAUCCAAAUCUCAAUCUUCUUCCUCUUAAAAAAAAUUAUUUUCUUCUUCAUUCAUGCUGCCGCGCAAGGAUGGUGACAGCUGAAGUAAAGAAAAUGGAACUUAGCCAUUUAAGCGGGAUGCUGCACCUUGGUAUAUGCAUUGCAUCUUUAGAGUUCUGUCCCAGUAAGAGGUCGGAUUGCGGUUGCUUCUUUGCCCAAUUGGAUCCAACUUUGUGAUUUGAUGAACAGCCUGCUGUUCAGUUAGGGUCCUUACCUGUGUACUCCACGUUGAAGGCCAUUGAGAGAAAAGAUCAAAAUGAGCAAUAGAAGUGGCUAAUAUAAUGGGCAGGUUAGAAUUAUCACUAUUAUUAUUUGAAGCAUGCAAUUGAGUAGCCUCAGGAUAAUGGCAAUACAUGUUGCUUGCCAUUAUCUCUCAUAUUUCUUGAUUUUUCUCCUAUUAUUGCAGCAUAUGGUAUUUUUCAUGCACUUAAAUUUGGCAACAAAUUCAGAACCAUUUACAGGUUAGAGGUGUAAUCGAAAGGGUAAACUAUUAUAUAAUAUCCGAACCAUCUUCGGUUUUAAUAAAAUCCGAAACCUUGUCUAGGACUCGCAUUUAAGCAUAUUCCCAUUAAGAUCUUAGAUAUGAUUAAAGCUAAUUCAUCUCUGGUGAUGUCGUUGAAGAACAAAAAUAAAAUAAUAAAGAACAAAAGCAAAAACCAACAAUACAAAACCAACAGCUAAGGACCGGAGGUCAAGGCCUCAGUUUCUGUCAUCACAGGCCAGAAAGCUGACAUUAGGAGCAUCCUUUCUUCCCUAAGGAAGAAAGAUCACUUCCACUAAUCCCAGUAUAGUUAGAAGAAUGUUGACAUAGAGUUAGGGUCUAAAAAUCAUAGCAAUAAGACCGUUAAUCUCUAAUUGUAUAUAUAUUGAUCAUAUUCAUUCAUGUAAAUCUCAGAAUUCAACAUUAUAUAUCAUCACAGAUUUAUACCAACUUAAAUUUCUUUUUUCUACAUGGUAUCUGACAAGGCUGUCGCGUGCCUAUAAAGAAUAACCUAACUAGACCUCCUAAUUAUAUAGCCGGGCAAGCAAAGGUCGAAUCCCUAGAGACUGGAGUAGUAAAAACUAGCUAAUCUUGACUUUAAUUAAUACUAAGUAAGUAACCAAAUCAACGAUUGAGGAUGAAUUAAUUUAUAAUGCAAAUAAUAAUAAUGAGAAUAAAUUCAAGGAUAAAAAGCACCUAGAGUUAAGUAUCCCCACUAGCAUAAUUAACGCAAAGAUAAGUUCCUACCCCAAACUAAUUAAAUAAUGUUCACAAGAAAAGGUAACCCUAUAAAAUACCAUAGAUCUCUUCCGAGUAUCAAUGGCUUCCCUAAUAUGCAAUCAAAACCUACUCCCGAGGAAUCAUGCAAAUUAAAGACAUUAAACUCAA